GCGCCCAUAAACCGGACUCAAAUAAUGUUAAGAUGAUACAGGCCCCCAAACCUGGAUGAUUCAACUACGGAUCAAGAGGUUGGGGGUUCGAAUCCCUCCGGGCGCG
rnacentral:tRNA from 1 species